GACGAACACUGGCGGCGUGCUUAACACAUGCAAGUCGAACGGAAAGGCCCUGCUUGCAGGGUACUCGAGUGGCGAACGGGUGAGUAACACGUGGGUGAUCUGCCCUGCACUUCGGGAUAAGCCUGGGAAACUGGGUCUAAUACCGGAUAGGAGCCAUUUUUAGUGUGAUGGUUGGAAAGUUUUUUCGGUGUAGGAUGAGCUCGCGGCCUAUCAGCUUGUUGGUGGGGUAAUGGCCUACCAAGGCGGCGACGGGUAGCCGGCCUGAGAGGGUGGACGGCCACAUUGGGACUGAGAUACGGCCCAGACUCCUACGGGAGGCAGCAGUGGGGAAUAUUGCACAAUGGGCGCAAGCCUGAUGCAGCGACGCCGCGUGGGGGAUGACGGCCUUCGCGUUGUAAACUCCUUUCGCUAGGGACGAAGCUUUUUGUGACGGUACCUAGAUAAGAAGCACCGGCUAACUACGUG
rnacentral:rRNA from 1 species